CUUGGAUGCCCCUUUCUUUUGUGCUAUACACUGUAUAAGAUUGAAUUAUAUAGUAUGCACAGUGUGCCACCUGUUUACUCAUGUGUUUCCAAUACAUGUGCAAGGGUUCUUUUCGUUUAUUUAUUUUUGCAUCGUGCAUUGUGAAUCUAUGGAGGUGCCAGAGGGCGUAAUGCAAUUGUGAAUUAUUGGGACUAUUGGUAACUCGUAUAUUGUAGCCGAGCCCAAACAUAUUUUCGCAGCAGAAACCAAUAAACCCGCAGUGAUUUAUGAACUCUGUUUUUUUACUGGUUUGCCAUCUAUUGUGGGGUUUUUUUGUGUGUGUGUGUGUGUUUUCACUUCCUUAGCGAUCUUGUGAAUGGCACAUCUGUAAAGCGAUAAGGAGAAUGUUGAUGAUGAUUUUUGCAUGCAGCCAGGGGACUGCAGGAAAAAGAAUAGAGGCGAACAAAAUAAAUUGAGACUGAAUUUACUGAAUGGAAAAUUCUGCUGUGUGAGAGAAUGGCAUGUAAACAAUGGCUGCGAUUUACCAAAAAAGCUCUCUGUGUCUCUCUCUCUUCCGUCCUUCCUCCCCUUCCUUCCUUCCCUCUUUCUCUUUCAUAUCUUUAGAUAACAAAUACGCUCCUGCGGUGAGUCUAAACGGCUUUAUAUUCAUCCUGGGAGGAGCCUAUGCUCGAGCUACCACUAUCUAUGACCCAGACAAAGGCAACAUCAAGGCCGGGCCCAACAUGAAUCACUCUCGGCAGUUCUGCAGUGCUGUGGUUUUGGACGGGAAGAUCUACUGCACGGGAGGCAUCGUGAGCAGCGAGGGUCCGGUCCUUGGCAACAUGGAAACGUUCGACCCUUGCACCAACACUUGGACGCUGCUGCAGUCGCUGCCGUGCCCGCUCUUCAGACACGGGUGCGUGGUCAUCAAAAAGUACAUCCAGAGCGGAUGAGGUCGGCCCGCAGCCUGCUCACACUCGCUCGAUGCCAAAACACCAGCUGGGCUCCGGUUGUGGGACAACGUGCGGCGGCAGCGUGGGGGCCAGUUGUCGUCUGCCGGUCAGCAACCUCUGGACGCCAGCAUCCAUUCACCACAUUACCCGUCCCACUCUCCAAAAAAGUCCUGUGCAGAAUGUACCCAUGUUCAACUACUCGGCCAUGUCAGGUGGCGUUGCCGAAACCUCCAGUACUGUAUGUGUCAUGGUAGUAGUUCAUCCUCUCAUCCAACAGGCACGGGGACUCUUAGUAAUUUAAAAGCUCCUUGGUUGUUUUUUGUCAGUUCUUUCUUCUCCUGAUCUCUGUAAACUCACCACCUCGUUGUUUUCUUUAACAAAGCGACUCGGUGCAGAGAAAGCCAUUGCAAGUGAAGAUCCUUGUCCUCUUUUCAAGUUGUGUCUAGGUUUAUAGUCCUUCAUUACCGAGCGCAGUGUCUCUGUGUUGUAUGAACAUUGUUUCAGUAGCGACAUCUGCAGGAGAGGAGGAAAAGUAAAGGAAACCAAAGUGACACGCUCCCGUGUUCGUCAGUGGAUUUGACAGGUUUCUUCUCUCUCCCCACUGUGUCAGAGAGCACACAUCUGACAGCGAGUGUGAAUUUAGGGUAACUUUAAUAAUGGAAAUAAACUCCAUGAAACCUGGUUCUUUUAAAGACUUGCUCAACUUUGUAAAAAAAAAAGGAAAAACUCAAAUCUGGGUCAGGUGAUGUUUAAAGAGAGAAAAUCUUCAUGUUUCUCCUCUUUCAUUUGCACCUCCAGCCUAAUCGAGAGAUUAUCUGAGUGGCCUGUUUUCUUUUCUUUCCUUGAUUUAUGUGAUCAUGCUCUCUGGGGAAAGGAAAACAGAUUGAGAGAGAGAGAGAGGGAAUUUCUCCUUUCCACUGACGUCUGAUCAGAUGUUCAAGUUGGGGCAGUUCCUCCGGAUAAAAGCACAAUAAUCACCUGUGACUGUUGUAAGUUACUUCCUGUUCCAUGCUUUGUUCCCCCCACCCCCCCCCACACACACACACACACUUUUUGUUUUGUACCGCGUGUCUCGUUACAACCCACAAAAAGUUGUCGGGUUUGUAUUCUGUAAAUAUAGGAAGGAAAUAUGUAUAUUUUAAAAACCUGAAGGCAAUUCUGUAUAAAUGUUUUUAGGAGGAAAAAAAAAAGGUACCCGACAGGUUUGACUCAAAUGCUAUGUCUGUAAAUCUGUACCCAAAAAGAAGAAAUUAACAAUUGUUAUUAUUGAAACCUAAUACAUAAACCAGAUCAAUGA